rnacentral:rRNA from 1 species
GAUGAACGCUAGCGGCAGGCUUAAUACAUGCAAGUCGUGGGGCAGCGCAGUGUAGCAAUACAUGGGCGGCGACCGGCAAACGGGUGCGGAACACGUACACAACCUUCCUUCAAAUGGGGAAUAGCCCAGGGAAACUUGGAUUAACUACCCCGUAACAUUAUGAAGUGGCAUCACUUUAUAAUUAUAGCUCCGGCGUUUGGAGAUGGGUGUGCGGCUGAUUAGGUAGUUGGCGGGGAACGCCCACCAAGCCUUCGAUCAGUAACUGGUGU